rnacentral:rRNA from 1 species
GACGAACGCUGGCGGCGUGCCUAAUACAUGCAAGUCGAGCGAAGUUUUUCUGGUGCUUGCACUAGAAAAACUUAGCGGCGAACGGGUGAGUCACACGUAAAGAACCUGCCUCAUAGACUGGGACAACUAUUGGAAACGAUAGCUAAUACCGGAUAACAGUAUUUCUCGCAUGAGAGAUAUUUAAAAGUUGGUUAUGCUAACACUAUGAGAUGGCUUUGCGGUGCAUUAGCUAGUUGGCGGGGUAAAGGCCCACCAAGGCGACGAUGCAUAGCCGACCUGAGAGGGUGAUCGGCCACACUGGGACUGAGACACGGCCCAGACUCCUACGGGAGGCAGCAGUAGGGAAUCUUCCGCAAUGGGCGAAAGCCUGACGGAGCAACGCCGCGUGAGUGAAGAAGGAGUUCGGUUCGUAAAGCUCUGUUGUUAGGGAAGAAUGGAUAUGUAGUAACUAUACAUGUAAGAGACGGUACCUAACCAGAAAGCCACGGCUAACUACGUG